rnacentral:rRNA from 1 species
UACAGAGGCCCCAAGCGUUACUGAGAAUCACUGGGUUUAAAGGGUGCGUAGGUGGCGCGUUAAGUCCGUUGUGAAAUCCCUUGGCUCAACCAAGGAAAUGCUUCGGAUACUGGUGUGCUUGAGGCUAGUAGGGGUCACUGGAACUGACGGUGGAGCGGUGAAAUGCGUAGAUAUCGUCAGGAACGCCGAUGGUGAAGACAGGUGACUGGGCUAGUUCUGACACUGAGGCACGAAAGCGUGGGGAGCGAACGGG